rnacentral:misc_RNA from 1 species
GAUGAAGAACGUAGUGAAAUGCGAUAAGUAAUGUGAAUUGCAGAAUCUCGUGAAUCAUUGAAUCUUUGAACGCACAUUGCGCCCUAUGGUAUUCCGUAGGGCAUGCCUGUCUGAGCGUUAGCUCACACCCCUCAAACUACUUUAUUGUUGGUUUGGAUGACUUUGGGAAAGCAUUAUAAAAAAAAAAAAUUUUUUUUUCUUAUGCCUCUCAGAAAUCUAUAGGCGGUACGGUUCCAACAAAACCAGAACGUAGUAAUUAAUUUUUAUAUCGUUCGUUUAUAUUUUGGAGGAGCUGUUGGCUUGCCUUUUGAACCCACAUAUUUAUUCUUAGGAAUAACCUCAGAUCAGGUAGGGAUACCCGCUGAACUUAAGCAUAUCAAUAAGCGGAGGA